rnacentral:rRNA from 1 species
AGUGAACGCUGGCGGUAGGCCUAACACAUGCAAGUCGAACGGCAGCACAGUAAGAGCUUGCUCUUACGGGUGGCGAGUGGCGGACGGGUGAGGAAUACAUCGGAAUCUACUUUUUCGUGGGGGAGAACGUAGGGAAACUUACGCUAAUACCGCAUACGACCUACGGGUGAAAGCAGGGGAUCUUCGGACCUUGCGCGAGUGAAUGAGCCGAUGUCGGAUUAGCUAGUUGGCGGGGUAAAGGCCCACCAAGGCGACGAUCCGUAGCUGGUCUGAGAGGAUGAUCAGCCACACUGGAACUGAGACACGGUCCAGACUCCUACGGGAGGCAGCAGUGGGGAAUAUUGGACAAUGGGCGCAAGCCUGAUCCAGCCAUACCGCGUGGGUGGAGAAGGCCUUCGGGUUGUAAAGCCCUUUUGUUGGGAAAGAAAAGCAGCAGGUUAAUACCCCGCUGUUCUGACGGUACCAAAAGAAUAAGCACCGGCUAACUUCGUG